UACAUGGGGUGCAAACGUUGCUCGGAAUUAUUGGGCGUAAAGCGCACGUAGGCGGUUUGUUAAGUCGGAUGUGAAAUCCCUCGGCUCAACUGAGGAAGUGCAUCCGAAACUGGCAAGCUUGAGUACGAAAGAGGAUCGCGGAAUUCCCGGUGUAGAGGUGAAAUUCGUAGAUAUUGGGAAGAACACCGGUGGCGAAGGCGGCUAUCUGGACCGUAACUGACGCUGAGGCGCGAAAGCGUGGGGAGCAAACAGG
rnacentral:rRNA from 1 species